rnacentral:tRNA from 1 species
GCAGUGCGUGGCCGAAUGGUUACACUGUCCGCUUUGUAAGCGGAUGAUUCUGGGUUCGAUUACCAUCUGCUGCA